AAGUCGUAACAAGGUUUCCGUAGGUGAACCUGCGGAAGGAUCAUUACCACGUUCCAAAACGUAUCAACCAAUGCGAAUCGUUUUCAAACGCUCCCAACAUAGAGAAUGAGCUGGAAGGGCAAACGUGCGUGUGCGGAGUCCUCGUGACUAGCGAAUGCCUCAACACUUAUGCUUCGGCAUAGACAGCUGUAUUUCUAUGGGUGGCUUAUUUUCCUGCUACUCAGGUUUCCGACACCGAUCACGAGUAGUAUGGAAUAUUUUAUUAAAAACUAUAUUCACCUUUUUGCUAGUUGACUUUACUAUGUUGUUCUUUGUCUCGGCAUGGAACACACGUUUAAUUACUUGAACGUUAAAUAAUACAACUCUUAGCAAUGGAUAUCUCGGUUCUC
rnacentral:misc_RNA from 1 species